rnacentral:lncRNA from 1 species
CCAGCCUCUUGGGUCAUGUAGUGACUCUCAAUAGGUGAUGGGGGGUGGGGAAGACAGCUUCGGAAGCCCACCUGGCAAAAAAUCCACACUGGGGGCGAGAGAUAAACCGGCACAUUCCCCAGACUGACCCACUAGGCUUCUUUCAUAACUUACUGGCAAUGAGCUGAGGAAGCUGUGAGUCUGGGAGUUAUUGAUUUUCUCUCAUCAUCAAAAUUCCUGCUUUUGGUGAGGGAACCAAUGCCAAGUAAGCACAGAACCUGUCUUCUCUCUGGACCAGAGCAGCUCAUGCCCCUUCAGAAAAACAGGCCUGGUGCAGUGGCAGAGUGAGAGCUCAGCGGCAGUGGGCAGAGAACUUCAGCAGAGUGACAUUUUGGUCAUGAAGCCCAAACGCACUGGCUCUCAACUGCAUCUCUUCUCUGGGGCCUUGGGGUCGGGGCGACUCCUCGUGCUACAGCAGCUGCAGGAAGCGCUGAGUGACAUCACCUCCCCCUAAGCCAAGAAGCCUCCACAAGGUCAGGCCUGGAGGAGCUGUCUUUAGGCAGAGAACACACAAACAAUCUACCUCUUUCCGCCCAGGGGAAUGAGCUCACAGCUCCGGGGAGCACAGCUCUACACGUGUGCCAGGUGGUGACAGGGUUAGUGUGCUAGCACUUCUGACACCCUGCAGGUGCUUCAUUCAUGGGACACCACCCAGUCUGUACCAGAUGGUGGGGUGGGAGAUGGACACCCAGCUCCAGACCUUCCCUCGCUUUAAGUUAUAAGGCCUUUGGGAGACAGACUCGCCCAUUUUCUUGGACUGGGUUGUAUGGAUGUUUGCCCAAUCAGAAUGGGAUAGAUAACUGGAGUAGGGUGGGGAUGGAGAAGAGGUUCUCGAGAGAUUACUCUACAAAUAAAAAUUCCUGGCAAUUGCCUCUCACUUCUAUCACCAACUGUUAUUCUCUGGGUCAUGGAAAUUCCCGUAUUGCUGGCCAUAUGUGGGGAUACAGUGGAAGAGUUCAAGGAAAGCUGAUUGGCUCACCGAUUGGUGAGCAGAGCUAUAUAGAAUGGAAAAGAAGCCCCCACAAUGAGUUGGACAACCUGACCCUAACCUGGGCUCCCCUAUUCUCUACCCUGCUUUUACCAAAGUCAAGAGGCAAAGAGUUCAAAUCCACCCAUAUUUUAGUUCCACGAUAAAUGAGCUCUUGUUGAUGUACAACUCCUAAUACAAUUGGCCUGACCGUACCCUGCUUUCUCAUCACAGAUGGGAAAUGGGCAUGAAUCAAACCAAUGUAUGUCUUUGAAUGCUUCAGAAGAAAAGGUUCCAGUUGGAUGCCCAUGUUUCAAUUCCCUGUAAUUUCCUUAUUUGAAUCUGUUGAGGGCUCAGAAUUUCUGUGUCAAGAGGUGUGCGUUUAUCUGCCUGACGAGAUGAGGUCUCAGGGACCCCCACGUAAGUACCAUAGAAAGACGUACCCUAAAAGGAAGAAUUCCCUUCAAACCUUGAAUACCAGCUAAUCUAAUGACUGAGGCUGGCUGAGGUGGCUUGCUAAGGAAACGAGACGAGGAAGAUGGAAGGGGAGAGAAACAAGGUCAAGUGGAAAGAGGGAGGAAGGAAGAAAGCGAAGGAGGGAGGCAAGGAGAAAAUUGAGCAUGUCAGGGGCCCACUGGGUUUUAUAAAUAAGUCAUGGAAAUAAUGAAACCUCGUUGUUCUGAAAGUGAAAGAGAAUGAAAAAGUCUCCACUGCGCCCCGCUGAUUCGUGCCCUGGUCCAACCAACCUCAAAACUGAGGAGAAGGGGCUGCCAUCUGGGCUUCAGCCUGCAGUCCCGAGGGUCUGUGGGUCAGGGCUGCACCCCAAGUGUGGCUGCUCUGAGGGGCCCCUGGAGGACCCACUGUGUGAGUUCAAAUCACUCCUGCUGCUAGUCAGGAAUGGCCCUCAGGAAGCUGCUUCACUCCGAGGUCAUUCUCUUCAGAAUUUGAUGAGCAAUCCUCAGAAGAAUGGAGGGGGACCAAAGGUUUGAAUCCUGACUCCAAAGGCAAUAUGUUGGCAAGUUUGUUUUUCCUUGGGGCUUAGCAUGUCCUUCAGGAAACUGGGGAGGACAGUGACCUUCUAGGGAAGGUGUCCUGCAAGUGAGGGCCCCAGUCCCUUCAUGGCACACAGAUGCCUGUGCCAGGGCAAAGGAAGAUGCCUGGACCUGAACAAAACAGCUGUCUACCUGCUGUCAACAGCCGGCUCAUGGCAGAACCAGGAAGGGCCGGGGGAGAAUCUGAACACCUCAGCCACAGCCUCAGCGUUCCCCGGGCCAGCACCACCUUCAUCUGUCAGUACCCACCACACUCCGCCCUUGACCCGCUCAUCCGUGAGGCAGCUGUCCCUAAGCAAGUUCAGUCCACGGCUUGCUUUCAUGAAGGCUUCAAGGCUUUCUGUAUACUUUUCUCACCCCUAAGCAGAACAAAACAGCUCCCUUCCUGAGAAUUCAUUCAGCUGCUGACUUGAGAGGUGGCUUAAGCAGCUAUUGUUUCGUUGGAGUGAGUAGGCCAUGGGCUCUGUCGUCUGGUGGCCAGGAUUCAAAUUCCAGCUCUGCAUUGACUCGCUGGUGACCUUGGGAAAGUAACUUAACCUCUCUGAGACUCAGCCUCCCCAUGUUUGAAGUAAUGAUAACAACAACAGUGUUGUUAUGAGGAUUAAACUGUAUCAUCUCUUGGAGAGAAGAAUCUGUUUUAUCCGACGAUGUUUAGCCCACAGUAAGCACUGAGUAAAUAUUUGUUGAAUACAUGCAAAAUGCUUUGCACAGUGUUUAGCACACAGGAGGUUGCAAUAAGUGGAUAGUAUUAUCUUCCUUAUCAUUAUUCUCUGCCUCUCCUCACAUGGAGGAGCUUAUUUUGGCCAUUAUAUCAGGGUACUGGCAGGAAACAGAUGGUACAUUCCACUUGAGGAGAGCUUCACGAAGGAGCUGUUUGCAGAGGUGGGAGCAGGAUUAAGCAAACCAGUGGGGAAUGGUUAAACACUUCAGAACCAGCAGCAACAGAAAGUGCCACCUCCCCUAGACCUGAGAGGUCAAGCAGGGAAGCUGCUACCAGAACCCUGAAAGAGAUCCAUAACCCAGAGGGCAGCUCCAGAGUAGCUCAGUCCUUCAGUGGAGGAGUGGAGCACGGACAGAGACGGGAGAAUGAAAACCCUGCCCAUUCUCUCCUCCCACCCUCUGAUCUCCUGCCAAUGCCUCCCAUCGCCAAACCCAAUGCUCCCUGAUGAGGUCCACGCGGGUCAGCUUCCACAGACCAGAGGGGAGAGGGUGGGGCUGGAUCUGGUGGAAAAUCCAGGACAGUUAUGAAGUCUCCAAAGGGUGUAUGUUCAUAGCCAUCUUUCCUAAUCUACAAAGGUUCUUCAGCAGAUUUAUAUCAUAACAAACGAGAUGUUCUCAAAGAAACUGAGACCAAUAGUAGAGUUUGAAAUUUCACCUUGUAUUUCUUCCUGUUGGAGGAGUCUAAACAUCUGGGGCCCAGCUGUCCUGUGGAGUUGAUUCCACAGCUGUAUCAUGCCUUUCCUGCCCUUCCUCAUACUAUGCAUUUCUACAUGUAAAAUCUAGCAAUGGAUACAUGCACUUGCUUUGAAAAAAGUGAAAAGUGAAUCCAGGCAUGGAUAACCUACAGGUACAUUUUUUUUAAUGUUUGCAAUACUUGGGUAAUUUUUUUAAAGAAAAAUUAACUCCGUUAACGUAUGUAAUAUUUUUAAUCUACCCACAUUUGCAUAUCAACUUGGGACUGCAUAUUCUAUGUAUAACAAGACGUAAAGAAAUCCUAAACUUGAAGAACUAAAUUCGUUCACUUUUAAAGCGCAGGUAUACUGUGGCAGGAGACACACUGUGUGAGCAAUCAGAAGCCAGCUCUGCAGAGACCACCAGUCUCCGAAGGCCAGCAGUGUUGACUAUCCCAAUACUGAACAGCUAGCUAGGUUACGUCCCGCCAGCGGGCAUCCAACCCCACUCCCCAAGAGCCGCCAGGAGGCCCAAGGCCUUCACUUCACAGUGCUGAGAUCUGAACACACACUAGCCCUCUGCAGGUCGUCUUCAUCUGGUUAAGUAUAUGCAAAGAUGCAGACAAUAAGACACAACCACAUUCAAAUGAAGGCAUCACCACAGUGAGGCUUGGCGAGUUCACAGACCCUGCCCCAACCCGGCUCCCAUUUAGAGAUGAAUGGUGGCAAUGAAGGUAAUGAGAGCCAAGGAUUAUGCAGUGUUUAUUUCGUUCCGGAGACUACACUGAGCCCUUCACACAGGCUAUCUCAAUCCUGCAAAUAAGCAUGUGUUGUAGAUUUGAUUUUAUAGAUGUGGGAAACGAAGCCAAGGGAUAUUAAGUUACUUGCCCAAGAUAACAACGCUGGUGAGUGGAAGAACUGGUAUUGGAAUUUAAGCAAUCUAACUCCAGACUGUAUUUUUAACCGUUGGGCAAUUCUGCCUCUGAUUAUAUCCCUUAAAUAUUCACAGAGGGGAAAAAAAUGCAAAACAUGCACUUUUCAAGUUAAGAGCCACUUUCUUCAGAGAGUGAGAUAAUGAGUGAACUUUUUCCUUUACUUUCUACUUUUUUGCUGUUUCCUGAUUCUACUUAGGAAUCAUAUUAAUUUCAAGGGCCGGCCCCAUGGCCGAGUGGUUAAGUUCGCGUGCUCUGCUUCAGUGACCCAGGGUUUCAUGGGUUAGGAUCCUGGGCGUGGACACCUGAGGUGGUAUCUCACAUGGCACGCCCAGAAGGACCUGCAACUAGAAUAUACAAGUAUGUAUUGCGGGGCUUUGCAAAAAGAAGAAGAAGGUGGGCAACAGAUGCUAGCUCAAGUGCCACUCUUUAAAAUAUAUAUUAAUUUCAUAAUGAAAAAUAUAAACUUUAUGACAAAAGCCAUUGUAGAGGUCUGGCUGUAUCAGGAAAGGACGAUUUCCUGUGGUCCAUUCCUCCCUCAGGUUAUUACCACAAACCCUGUGCAGAAUUGAGGCCAAGAAGUGACCCCCACAUGUAUAGUCAACUGGUUUUCAACAAAAGUUCCAAGGCAGCUCAAUAAGAGAAGAACUGCCUUUCCAACAAAUAGAACUGGAUCAACUGGAUAUCCACAGGAGGGAAAAAAAUGAAGAUUGACCUUUAGCUCCAUUUAAAAAAAGGUUUUGGAUCAAUGCUACUUCAUCACAAUUAAAAACUUCUAUUCUUUGAAAAACGCCAUUAAGAAAACAUAUAGGCAAGCGACUAGGUGGGAGAAAGUACUCAAAGCACUUGUACCCAAAAUGUAUAAAAGACUCCUACAACUCAAUAAGAAGAAGAAAGCCUAUUUUCUUUAGUGGGCAAAAAAAUUGAACAUGCACUUCAAAAAAGAGAAAAUAUGAAGGGCCAAAAGCACAUAAAAAGAUGGUCAACAUCAUUCAUUAGUUAUUGGGGAAUUGUGCACUAAAAGCACAAUGAAAUGUCACUACAUCCACUAGAAUGGCUUAAAUGAAAAAGAUUGAGCAUACCAAGUACUGGUGAGGGUAGAGAGUAACUGGAACUCUCAUAAACUACUGGUGGAAAUAAAAAAAUGAUACAGUAUUUUUUAGAAAACAGUUUGGUAGUUUCUUCAAAGGUUAAACAUAAACUCAGCAUACAACCCAGCCAUUCCGUACCUAGGUAUUUACCCAAAAUAAAUGAAAACACAUGUGCACACGAAGACUUGCACACGAAUGUAAAUGGCAGCUUUAUGUGUAAUAGCUAAAAACUGGAAACAACCCAAAUGCCCAUCAACAGGUGAAUAG